GGUGCGGUGGCCUAAUGGUUAGCGCGUUGGACUCCGGAUCGAGCGGUCUAGGUUCGAGCGCUGGCUGUUGUCA
rnacentral:tRNA from 1 species